GCAGCGUUCCCACGGGUGAGAUGUCACCCGCACCCGGCGGGGGUGGUUCCCAUCGCUUUGGUUUUGUCUGUGGCAGGCACAGACUUUCCCAGCUCCAGCACUGGGGCAGCUGAAGGUGAAGCUGCUCCCUCAGCACAGGAGUUGAAACUCUUUAGCUUUCCUCAGUGUCACCUCCAUGGCCAUGGAUACCUCCAGGUGUGACGCUGAGAAACUGCUGCUGUGAGACCCCGACGGCUCUUCCUGACAGCUCGGAGGGGUGAACACCAGCUCCCACCUGCCACCACACCUGAGGCACCUGCCCUUGGUCUUCAGAGAGCCCAGUGCAAGCGCCGCCGGAGGAGCUGGGCUGAAUCAAAG